rnacentral:sRNA from 1 species
GUAAAAUGAAUGGGCAACAAGGGCAGAAGCCAGGGGGAGCUCGGCUGGGGACGUAUGGCAGCACUGUCGCUGAGGGCCACUGAGGGUCAGCCAGCAGGAAGGAGGGUCAGGGAGAGGAAAGGGGGGCUGUGUGCAUGGCUGCCAAUAGGGAGAGUCACUUGUCUGAGAUGAAGGAGGGAUGACGGAGAGGAGAGGGAGGAGGGAAUGGGGUGAAGAGGCAAAGAAUUUUCCAGUAGAAGGGAGGCCAGCUGGGAGGGCUGUAUGUGCAUCUCCCUGCCUGUUCAUUAUAAGCCCAAAUAUUCGGAUGUGCUUCAUCACCUACUCCACGGACGGCGAGACUGUCUUGCCACUCACCUCAGACAAGUGAGUGCUGCUUUGAGCCCCAAAGGGAGGCCUGGUGAGCUUGGCCAGAGGGAGCUCCAGGGAGCUGAGGGGCUCCCGGAGACCUUGGUUGGGAGCCUGACAGCACAAAGGGCAGGCCAGUCCGGGCAACUCACAGUACCCACCUGACCUUAGCCCCAGCUCCCCUGCAUCCUCCUACACAUGGCUGCGAGGUUACCUGCAGGCCCCUGU